rnacentral:rRNA from 1 species
CUAGUAUAGCAAUCUAUACUGUGAAACUGCGAAUGGCUCAUUAAAUCAGUUAUCGUUUAUUUGAUAGUACCUUACUACUUGGAUAACCGUGGUAAUUCUAGAGCUAAUACAUGCUAAAAACCCCAACUUCGGAAGGGGUGUAUUUAUUAGAUAAAAAACCAAUGCCCUUCGGGGCUCCUUGGUGAUUCAUGAUAACUUAACGAAUCGCAUGGCCUUGCGCCGGCGAUGGUUCAUUCAAAUUUCUGCCCUAUCAACUUUCGAUGGUAGGAUAGUGGCCUACCAUGGUAUCAACGGGUAACGGGGAAUUAGGGUUCUAUUCCGGAGAGGGAGCCUGAGAAACGGCUACCACAUCCAAGGAAGGCAGCAGGCGCGCAAAUUACCCAAUCCCGACACGGGGAGGUAGUGACAAUAAAUACUGAUACAGGGCUCUUUUGGGUCUUGUAAUUGGAAUGAGUACAAUUUAAAUACCUUAACGAGGAACAAUUGGAGGGCAAGUCUGGUGCCAGCAGCCGCGGUAAUUCCAGCUCCAAUAGCGUAUAUUAAAGUUGUUGCAGUUAAAAAGCUCGUAGUUGAACCUUGGGCCUGGCUGGCCGGUCCGCCUCACCGCGUGUACUGGUCCGGCCGGGCCUUUCCUUCUGGGGAUCCGCAUGCCCUUCACUGGGUGUGUCGGGGAACCAGGACUUUUACUUUGAAAAAAUUAGAGUGUUCAAAGCAGGCCUUUGCUCGAAUACAUUAGCAUGGAAUAAUAGAAUAGGACGUGCGGUCCUAUUUUGUUGGUUUCUAGGACCGCCGUAAUGAUUAAUAGGGAUAGUCGGGGGCAUCAGUAUUCAAUUGUCAGAGGUGAAAUUCUUGGAUUUAUUGAAGACUAACUACUGCGAAAGCAUUUGCCAAGGAUGUUUUCAUUAAUCAGUGAACGAAAGUUAGGGGAUCGAAGACGAUCAGAUACCGUCGUAGUCUUAACCGUAAACUAUGCCGACUAGGGAUCGGGCGAUGUUAUUCUUUUGACUCGCUCGGCACCUUACGAGAAAUCAAA